rnacentral:rRNA from 1 species
UACGGAGGGAGCUAGCGUUGUUCGGAAUUACUGGGCGUAAAGCGCACGUAGGCGGCUUUGUAAGUUAGAGGUGAAAGCCCAGGGCUUAACCCCUGGAAUUGCCUUUAAGACUGCAUCGCUAGAAUCGUGGAGAGGUAAGUGGAAUUCCGAGUGUAGAGGUGAAAUUCGUAGAUAUUCGGAAGAACACCAGUGGCGAAGGCGACUUACUGGACACGUAUUGACGCUGAGGUGCGAAAGCGUGGGGAGCAAACAGG